GGGAGCCAGACUUCGCAUCUGACUUUAAUUGCAGGAAGACUUCGCCCGGGCUCCUACGGGAGCUGAGCCUCAUCCUCGAUUUCAACUGCCGGUGAGCUCCGCCCGGACCCUUACGGGAGCCAGACUCCACCCCCGGCUGUGACUGAAGGAAGACUCCAUCCGAACUCUUGCGAAAGUCAGAUUCCGAGCUCCUCUUGGAUAGAUGGCUAACUACCUCUCUCCACCACACUCC
rnacentral:lncRNA from 1 species